AUACGAAGGGGGCAAGCGUUGUUGGGAAUAACUGGGCGUAAAGCGCACGUAGGCGGAAUGUUAAGUUAGAGGUGAAAUCCCAGGGCCCAACCCUGGAACGGCCUUUAAUACUGGCAAUCUAGAGACCGAGAGAGGUGAGUGGAAUUCCGAGUGUAGAGGUGAAAUUCGUAGAUAUUCGGAGGAACACCAGUGGCGAAGGCGGCUCACUGGCUCGGUACUGACGCUGAGGUGCGAAAGCGUGGGGAGCAAACAGGAUUAGAAACCCUAGUAGUCC
rnacentral:rRNA from 1 species